CUGCUGCCUCCCGUAGGAGUCUGGUCCGUGUCUCAGUACCAGUGUGGGGGGCCUUCCUCUCAGAACCCCUACGCAUCGUCGGAACGGUGGUCCGUCACACCGCCGUCUUCCUAAUGCGCCGCAUGCCCAUCCCUGUCCGGCCGAAGCCUUUCCUGCCUCCGGGAUGCCCCGGCGGCAUGUACGCGGGUUUAGCCCGCCUUUCGGCGGGUUGUCCCCCUGACAGGGGCAGGUUGCAUACGUGUUACUCACCCGUGCGCCGGUCGCCGGCGGAAG
rnacentral:rRNA from 1 species